GGAGGAUCUGAGGGGUUCACAUCCCAAGCACAUGUCUGUAAAAGUCACAUGUCUGUAACCCCAGCACUGAGAGGAACAGAGACAGAAAGCUUGUCAGGGCAGCCGGAGUGGCUCCAGAUCAAUGAAAGAUGUUUUGCUAAGGAAAUAGGCCAGAGAAUAAUGAAGCAGAACCUGGAAUCCUAAUGUGGCUUUUGUAGUAUCUGUACCCACACCAUGCCCACACAUAUACAUACAUGUGCACAUGUCCACACACCCCUUAUACAUACUUACACAUACACACACACAUGUACAUACAUACACAUGCCCACACACCCCUGUAUACAUACAUACACAUAUACACACACACCCAUAUACAUACAUACACAUGCCCAUACACCCCCAUAUACAUACAUACACAAACAUACACACACACCCAUACACAUACAUACACAUGCCCACACACCCACAUAUACAUACAUACACAUGCCCACACACACCAGUAUACAUACAUACACACACACACACACACACACACACACACACACAUGUCCAAACACCCCAUACACACACACACUCAUACACUCCAUACACAUACACACACAUGCCUACAUACCUUAUACAUACAUACGCAUACCCAUACACCCCAUAUACAUCCAUACACACCCCAUACAUGUACAUAUACACAUGUGCCACACCCCAUGCGCACACACAUGCCCACACACCCCAUACAUAUACUCACACACAUGUCCACACACCCCAUACAAAUACACACAUGCACAUGUCCACAUACCCAAUACACAUACACACACAUAUCCAUACACCCCAUAUACAUACACACACACAUACCUAUAUACCCCAUACACAUACACACACACCGGAAGUGACUAUGGAUUCUAGCUGG
rnacentral:lncRNA from 1 species